rnacentral:sRNA from 6 species
AGCUACCACUCGGACACUCCGGGUCCUGGGCGCCAGCAACGCCCGCCUGCCGACUGCUUGCUACGUGUUGUUAGCC